CCAAUCUGUCGUGAGUUUCAUCUCUAAAAUCCCUAAUUUCACUUUUCUUCUUCAUCAUCUCUCUCAGAACCCCGAAACCUUGAAAAUAUGAGGAUUAAAUUAAAACGAGGCAAAAAGCUAAUUCUGAAGCGGAAGAAAGGACAGAAUGAGUCUUCUUCGUCCCAACAAACUAAGCUAUCCCGAGACAAGCGUGUGAUGACAUGUUCUAACUGUCUUCAAGAAGGUCACACCAAAACCAAAUGUUCAAAUGAAACUGUUGAGAGGCCUCCAAAGAAACCAAGAGGUCGACCAAGACUUAAUUUUGAGGGAGAACCUUCACAAGGGGUGUCUCAAGGAAAUUCUGAAUGAAUGUCUCAAGGACAAUCACAGCUACCCUGAAUUGUUUGGAGUCUAAAAGCCUCAGUCUAAUUUUUUUUUUAUUGUUGUUCAUGCUGGAUUGUUUUCUCUCGGAUGGGUGGUGUUUUUUUUUCUUCUUAUUUCGGCUAGAGUUCAAAAUGAUUUAUGCAUAACAACUUCAUGGUUUUUUUUUCUUAUUUCAGUUUCUCUGCAAUGUUAGUAAUCGUAAGAGUUGUUCUUU